rnacentral:rRNA from 1 species
UACGGGGGGAGCAAGCGUUGUUCGGAUUUACUGGGCGUAAAGGGCGCGUAGGCGGCCACCGCAAGUCGAUUGUGAAAUCUCCGGGCUUAACCCGGAAAGGUCAACCGAUACUGCGGGGCUAGAGUGCGGAAGGGGCAACUGGAAUUCUCGGUGUAGCGGUGAAAUGCGUAGAUAUCGAGAGGAACACCUGCGGCGAAGGCGGGUUGCUGGGCUGACACUGACGCUGAUGCGCGAAAGCCAGGGGAGCAAACGGG